UGGAUAUAAUGACCCAUUUGAAUUUCCUUGAUAUUUGUACAUUCCAAGCCUCCCAUCACGGGUGAAAUGUUUUCACAACAGCUACCUCUCCAUUUCAAUCACUAUUUCCUUCUCGUGCUCCCCACAAAACCAGCUUCAUGACUGAAACAUUAAUCACGUUUUUCUACUAUUUACCAUGAAUAAAACUAGAAACUCUUAAUCUGAUUAACGACAGGGAGGGUAAGUUCACACAACAGCAAGAUUGGAAAAACACACAGCCAAUAUUUCCUAGACAACUCUUGUCCUUGUUCGGAAGGCUCGUGCGGAAGUUUGGAUGCGUCCCCGGGUGGAAAAGCCCAUUCCGAGCGGAUUGGCAUCUAUCUAGAGCCAUGACGAAAUCUCCAACUCUGGACGACAGCGGUCGUCGAGGCGCCGUCGAUCACAUGAUCACACGGCCCAAGUCUCUCGAACAGACCGAAACAAGAACCUGCCAGCUCUCGAUCUCGCAUGACGUGAAGCUCGCGAUCCACAGGCUGAUCAGUGGAAAAAAAAAGAAAAAAAAAGGAAGCACCAAACCUCGAUCACGCAGCAGCAGCAGUAGCAGUCAGAGAGACAUGUGCACAAGCAACCAGGGCGACUGACCUAGCAAUCUUCGAGAAACCGCAAGGAGGGAUCCAACCAUUCGCCACACAACCCGAAAGAGACAUGCAGGUCGGUGGCUUCCCGCGUGCGAGCCGAUCGACGAGCUCGCAGUCCCAGCGCCUCUUCGCCGCUGUCAGCGCCCGUAGGUCGGAUCGAGGCCCCUCUCCAGUCACGAAACCCUUAAGCUCAGUAAUAGAAAAAAUAAACAACAACAACAACAACACUGCAACCUGGGUGCGGCGAACCCAGCUCCACUCACCUGCUUCACCAGUAUUUUAAUCAGCAUCCGCAUCUAAUUCAGAUCUUGGCUCCGAUUAGCAAUCUUCCUAGUAUCAGAGAAUCCUGUUAUCUGAACCUUCACAUUGCACUGCAUUGACACCGGCGACGGUGGACUCCGGCUGCGAUGUCUAGAUUCCGCCAUGAAGCAGUCAAGGCUCG
rnacentral:lncRNA from 1 species